UACGUAGGCAGCGAGCGUUGUUCGGAGUUACUGGGCGUAAAGGGUGUGUAGGCGGUUGUUUAAGUUUGGUGUGAAAUCUCCCCGGCUCAACUGGGAGGGUGCGCCGAAUACUGAAUGACUUCGAGUGCGGGAGAGGAGAGUGGAAUUCCUGGUGUAGCGGUGAAAUGCGUAGAUAUCAGGAGGAACACCGGUGGUGUAGACGGCUCUCUGGACCGUAACUGACGCUGAGACACGAAAGCGUGGGUAGCAAACAGG
rnacentral:rRNA from 1 species